UAUUGGUCCCCUCGCAAUGAUAGCUUGUGAACUCCGCCAGGCCCGGAAGGGAGCAACGGUAACAAGUGACUCGUGUGCCGGGGUGUGGCUUGUAGGG
rnacentral:SRP_RNA from 1 species